rnacentral:rRNA from 1 species
UACGGGGGGGGGCAAGCGUUGUUCGGAAUUACUGGGCGUAAAGGGCUCGUAGGUGCCAACUAAGUCGGACGUGAAAUCCCUCGGCUUAACCGGGGAACUGCGUCCGAUACUGGUUGGCUUGAGUUUGGGAGAGGGAUGCGGAAUUCCAGGUGUAGCGGUGAAAUGCGUAGAUAUCAGGAGGAACACCGAUGGCGAAGGCAGAUCUCUGGGCCGUAACUGACGCUGAGGAGCGAAAGCAUGGGGAGCGAACAGG